AGGGACCUGCGUCCGCACUGCCCCAGUGUGACCCGCAUACCUACCGGCCCCGACCCCGAACCGCGUGGCGUCCGCCCGAGCCCUGGCGCUGCUGGGUCUCCUGCUGCUGCCGCUGCUCGCAGGUAGGCCCCGCCAGGGAAGCCCGGGCCGCGCUGCAGCCCCGGGGCACCCACCCCUCCCUGAUCACACGCUCCUACUCUCCCCGCAGAGCCCAGGAAACUCUGCCCGCAGCUUAUGACGGUCAUUAACCAGUUUCUGACCAAGGACAAGGACACCUACAUGGACACUGUCAACAGAUACCACCUCACGGAGCCGGAAAGAAACACAUCCUCUAAACUCAAGGACUGCGUGACCGACACAAUGACCCCCGAGGAGACAGAGGCCGUCGUGCAGCAACUGGCACCUCGGGUUCCUGUCCAGGCUGCCUGUCCCAACCAUGAGAAUCUGGGCCCAGGGCCCCACCCUCCCUAGCUCCCGCCCUGCUGCUGCCUCUACUCUCUCUCCUGCUGUGCUGAUUGGGGCAAGCCUGGGAACGGCUGCCCCCCACCUCCCCACCCAGGCCUGUCCCCUGCGGGACAAUGCUGCCUAAUAAACUCACCUGCAUCCAUCCA
rnacentral:lncRNA from 1 species